AAUGUCAGAAAGCUUCCACCUUUCCAGUUUCCUCAAACAGUUUCUCAUUCAAAUUCAAAUUCACUAUUUCCCCAAUCCAGAUCUGGAAAACAAAUUCCAUAACCCAGAGAGAGAGCCGAUGGAAACGCCCUUGAUUCAACCGAUCUUCAUAUAUAAGUUUUUGACCGAUUAUGGUUUUUCGAUUCGUCGUCUGUAGAGAUGAAGAUCGUCUUCUUCAGGUGUUUACAACGAUCUCGGAGCUCCAGAUCUGAGCAUAAGUUUAUCACGGCCGGUGCUCGGCGGCGAGCAACAUCCGUACCCUAGGCGGUGCCGUACUGGUCGCCCGAUGUCCACCAAAGAUCUGUAUAUGGAGAAAAAGCAAUGACAACUUUGGAAAGAACAAAUGAAGUAGCUGGAAAUUAUGGUCAAAGAUGCAAGAAACGCAGGGCUGGCAGAAAAAGUUUCUAAGCCAUCGCCUCUUGCGCGUAGGCCCAUUUUUCAGGCGAGCCGAGGCAGUUGCGCUUUAAGUUGAAGAAAUUGCGCUUUAAUUCUCUAGGUGAUGGUUCAGGUGCACAUUCCGGCGCGAUUCCUAGAUUCCGGAGAGUUUCUGGCCAAAUUCUCUAAAUUCCGACAAGAUUUUAGCCAGAUUUCUACUUUCAUCCAAGGAAUACUAUUUUUCUACACUAAUAUUUUAGAACUUUUAGUAUUACAUAGAUGAUAUAAGGUGUUACAUAAAAGAUUUUGUUUAUUUUGUUUAAAGAAUAGUUUUACUUUUCCUAAUACAUAAUAUAUUUUAAUUUUAUUUCAUUAUGCGCUUGAUUUUUCUCAGGCGCUCGCUUUUUUCGCGCUUUAGGCCUAUGCGCAUUGAGUGCGCCUAGCGCCUUUAAUAACUAUGGGUUUAACUACUAUAUCGCAAGACGCUAAAAGUACGAUAAAACACUUAUAUGGGCGGGUCGGGUGGGCUGAGUUAGAUUCGGUACAGUUUCACCAAAUUUUGACCCACUGAUGUCACCGUGUCGUACAGAUCCGGAGUUAGAUUCGGUACAGUUUCAUCCAAUUUUGAUUCUUUGUUAAGAUUAAUCUUACAAUAUCUCACUAGCUUUCUCUUUUUGGUUUUGGUUACAAGGUUGAACAGCGGCGGUGACAAAUGAAGUUAAGCUUGAACCCCAAACCCUUUUCAGCUUGUGGGAAAUAUUGUUGGGAAACUUGGCUUUGAAGUAAGGAGAUGUCUUAGCAUGUAUUUGACCACAGUUGACUAAUAUUUUCAUUUUGAAAAUUCGUCAUCAGCCUUGCGAUAAACUCUCUUGCACCAUCAGAUGCGGCUACAAGGAUAUCAAGAGGUGAUGAAAUGGCAACCUACUAAGAUUUUUUUCCCUGAGCUGAUCAACACACAUAACAUUACAAGUAUCUGGAAGACACUGGCUGAAAUAUGAUGCACAAGGGAAGAUUCUUUCAAAUGGAACUCUUCAAGUGUGUGUGUGUGUGUGUGCGCGCGUGCGCGCGCGCGCGCGUACGUACGUAUUAUGUAUUAUUAUUAUUAUUAUUAUUUUGUUGAUGAAAAUUUCCGAACGAAUGGCAGCUGAAUGUCACCAGAUUCCAGGGAUGAUGAAACUGUUGCGGUCAUAUAUUUUAGAGUUGGAUGCGCGCCCACAAGAUUUCACACCUCUAUGCUAAACACUUGAUUUCUUCUAGCAGAGUUUCAAUGGAGUUUGUUUCAAAGACGGAGAUCCGCCACAUGUCUCGGAUAUGGAAGUAUCGGAUUCAAUGCAGUCCUGAACGCACAAAGGUCUGGAUCGAGCCUAACAAACGCCGUAGAGUCGUCGUUGUUUACCACCUCAAAGAGAGAAGAACAAAGGCACCAGAAGUGCAUUAAAUGCGCCUCGCUACAAAAACUCGCCUACGCGCAAAAAGCUCUCGAUUUUAAUAACUAUGGUUUUGGUUGUGGUUCAACAUGGAGAAAGGAACAUGUAUGAUCAACAUUGGUUUACUGCAACCCUCAAGGAAAAAUAUCCUUUUGACCUUAUAAUAUAUUUUUUUAUUCUUAAUUUAAACUGCUUGACGUCAAAACAUUAUUAUUUUAAAUUACUUGAUUACAUGUUU